GAGCCGGGUGAGGCUGGGAGGGGGCAGCGCGUGCUCGGGGGUGAUUAACAGUUUGGCUUUGGCCUCCUCAUGCACAGGGGCCUCAUCUGUUCCUCGUUUUCUCUCUGGCCAAAGCGACCGCAUCCGAUGUCCCGAAGGAGAAGGCUGGAAAUUUUUUUGCAAGCCCUUUCAGUGUCACGAGCUCCAUGUCCCUGGUCCCUGAGGAUCAGCAUCAGCGUGCCAGGCCCCCGCUGGAACGACUAGCAAUAUGCCUGCUCUGCCCUCCCCACCCGGGACGGCCCAGGUAGGCCAAGCCGGGGGUCCUAGUCACCACUCUCCUGCCUCCUCUGCCCGCUGGGCCCCGCUGCCUGUCACAGGACCCACAGCGGGACCUCCGAGUGUCCUGGCCCCCCCACCAGGGGCCACCGUCACCGCGGCACGCGACUCACGUCGCGCACCAGGCAGCUUCGGUCUAGAGAUGCCUUUUCUGUCUUCUGUUCCUGAGAGUCGAGGACAGCGGAUUCCAGCUGUCCCAGCCACGAGCCCCCAGGCGCCGGUGUGCAGGGUGGGCCAGCGUGCCCCUUCGAGCACACGUGUAGCGGAAGGGCUGCCCCCUCAAACCGUUCAUCACCUUCAAGUACCCUCUCCUGUCUCCAAAAUCGCCUCAACACUUCACAGCAUGUUUUCAUUGAAACGUUUUCCUUAAAGGGAAGCAUCACUGGGGGACCCGCCUUGUGAGAAGAUACCACGUUACCGCCACCCCUCCCCUCUGCUCCCCCCGAACCCUGUGCUGACCUCAGCGCCCUCGGCGUCAACCCUCGGAGGCGCUGGUGGAGACACGAGCGUUCCUUGGGGCAGGGGCAGAUGACCAAGGCAGGCCGCCGUCCAGGGCUUUCCUGUCACCAAAGCCGCAUUAACGCAAAUCCAUUUUUCAUUAGAAAAUAAAACUCAUCAGCAACAUCCACCGAGAAA